AUAUUGCACAAUGGGCGCAAGCCUGAUGCAGCGACGCCGCGUGAGGGAUGACGGCCUUCGGGUUGUAAACCUCUUUCAGCUCCGACGAAGCGCAAGUGACGGUAGGAGCAGAAGAAGCACCGGCCAAAUUACGUGCCAGCAGCCGCGGUAAUACGUAGGGUGCAAGCGUUGUCCGGAAUUACUGGGCGUAAAGAGCUCGUAGGCGGUUUGUCGCGUCGUCUGUGAAAUUCUGCAGCUUAACUGCAGGCGUGCAGGCGAUACGGGCAGACUUGAGUACUACAGGGGAGACUGGAAUUCCUGGUGUAGCGGUGAAAUGCGCAGAUAUCAGGAGGAACACCGGUGGCGAAGGCGGGUCUCUGGGUAGUAACUGACGCUGAGGAGCGAAAGCGUGGGUAGCGAACAGGAUUAGAUACCCUGGUAGUCCACGCCGUAAACGGUGGGUACUAGGUGUGGGUUUCAUUUCACGGAAUCCGUGCCGUAGCUAACGCAUUAAGUACCCCGCCUGGGGAGUACGGCCGCAAGGCUAAAACUCAAAGGAAUUGACGGGGGCCCGCACAAGCGGCGGAGCAUGUGGAUUAAUUCGAUGCAACGCGAAGAACCUUACCUGGGUUUGACAUACACCAGACGCAGUCAGAGAUGGCUGUUCCCUUGUGGUUGGUGUACAGGUGGUGCAUGGCUGUCGUCAGCUCGUGUCGUGAGAUGUUGGGUUAAGUCCCGCAACGAGCGCAACCCUUGUCCUGUAUUGCCAGCGGGUUAUGCCGGGGACUUGCAGGAGACUGCCGGGGUCAACUCGGAGGAAGGUGGGGAUGACGUCAAGUCAUCAUGCCCCUUAUGUCCAGGGCUUCACACAUGCUACAAUGGCUGGUACAGAGGGCUGCGAGACCGUGAGGUGGAGCGAAUCCCUUAAAGCCAGUCUCAGUUCGGAUUGGGGUCUGCAACUCGACCCCAUGAAGUCGGAGUCGCUAGUAAUCGCAGAUCAGCAACGCUGCGGUGAAUACGUUCCCGGGCCUUGUACACACCGCCCGUCACGUCAUGAAAGUCGGUAACACCCGAAGCCGGUGG
rnacentral:rRNA from 1 species